rnacentral:tRNA from 1 species
UGGGCGGUUAGCUCAGCUGGGAGAGCAUAACGUUCGCAACGUUGGGGCCGGGGGUUCGAAUCCCCUACCGUCCAU